rnacentral:rRNA from 1 species
UACGGGAGGCAGCAGUGAGGAAUAUUGGUCAAUGGACGAGAGUCUGAACCAGCCAAGUAGCGUGAAGGAUGAAGGUUCUAUGGAUUGUAAACUUCUUUUAUACGGGAAUAAACGGAUCCACGUGUGGAUUUUUGCAUGUACCGUAUGAAUAAGGAUCGGCUAACUCCGUGCCAGCAGCCGCGGUAAUACGGAGGAUCCGAGCGUUAUCCGGAUUUAUUGGGUUUAAAGGGAGCGUAGAUGGGUUGUUAAGUCAGUUGUGAAAGUUUGCGGCUCAACCGUAAAAUUGCAAUUGAUACUGGCAGUCUUGAGUACAGUUGAGGUAGGCGGAAUUCGUGGUGUAGCGGUGAAA